rnacentral:rRNA from 1 species
ACACAUGCAAGUCGAGGGGAAACGAUGGGAGGGCUUGCCCUCCCAGGCGUCGACCGGCGCACGGGUGAGUAACACGUAUCCAACCUGCCCUCUUCCGGGGAACAACCUUGCGAAAGUAAGACUAAUGCCCCAUGUGUCCUCAGACGGCACCAGACGAGGACGAAAGAUUUAUCGGAAGUGGAUGGGGAUGCGCCUGAUUAGGCAGUUGGCGGGGCAACGGCCCACCAAGCCGACGAUCAGUAGGGGUUCUGAGAGGAAGGUCCCCCACAUUGGAACUGAGACACGGUCCAAACUCCUACGGGAGGCAGCAGUGAGGAAUAUUGGUCAAUGGGCGAGAGCCUGAACCAGCCAAGUAGCGUGCAGGAUGACGGCCCUAUGGGUUGUAAACUGCUUUUGCGCGGGGAUAAAGUGCGCCACGUGUGGCGCAUUGCAGGUACCGCGCGAAUAAGGACCGGCUAAUUCCGUGCCAGCAGCCGCGGUAAUACGGAAGGCCCGGGCGUUAUCCGGAUUCAUUGGGUUUAAAGGGAGCGCAGGCCGCCCCUUAAGCGUGUUGUGAAAUGCCGCGGCUCAACCGUGGCACUGCAGCGCGAACUGGGGGGCUUGAGUGCGCGCAGCGCAGGCGGAACUCGUGGUGUAGCGGUGAAAUGCUUAGAUAUCACGAAGAACUCCGAUCGCGAAGGCAGCCUGCGGGAGCGCAACUGACGCUGAGGCUCGAAAGUGCGGGUAUCGAACAGGAUUAGAUACCC